rnacentral:misc_RNA from 1 species
GUGAAUCAUCGAAUUUUUGAACGCAAAUUGCACUCUCUUGGGAGAGUAUGAGUGUGUGAGGGUCAGCGUAAAGAAAAACGACGAAGUCGCUGUUUUGCGGUGACAUUGGUCGGAAAAUGGGGCAUCUUAAACAUUUGGGUUGUUUAAGCGGCUAAAAAUUUUCUUUACGAUUCAACGAGAGUUUCUAAGAUUUUACUUCUUACAGACGUUUAAGGUAUCGAUAAUCAUAAGACGUGGC